rnacentral:siRNA from 1 species
GGCAAUAGGUGGAGAGGCC